AAGCUGAAACUUAAAGGAAUUGACGGAAGGGCACCACCAGGAGUGGAGCCUGCGGCUUAAUUUGACUCAACACGGGGAAACUCACCCGGCCCGGACACUGUGAGGAUUGACAGAUUGAUAGCUUUUUCAUGAUUCAGUAGAUGGAGGUGCAUGGCCGUUCUUAGUUCGUGGAGUGAUUUGUCUGGUUUAUUCCGAUAACGAGCGAGACUCUAACCUACUAAAUAGUUGGCACAUACUCUUAGUGUAUACAGCUUCUUAGAGGGAUUUGCGGCGUUCAGCCGAAAGAAAUUGAGCAAUAACAGGUCUGUGAUGCCCUUAGAUGUCCGGGGCUGCACGCCCGCUACACUGGCAAAAUCAACGUGCUUGUCCUACCCUGAAACGCCCGGGUAAACCAUUGAAAAUUUGCCGUGAUUGGGAUCGGAAAUUGCAAUUAUUUUCCGUGAACGAGGAAUUCCAAGAAAGAGCGAGUCAUCAGCUCGCGUUGAUUACGUCCCUGCCCUUUGUACACACCGCCCGUCGCUGCCCGGGACUGAGCCAUUUCGAGAAAUUUGGGGACCGUUGAUUUAAUUUUUCUAAAU
rnacentral:rRNA from 1 species